rnacentral:rRNA from 1 species
GAGCUUGCUCCUGAUUGAUACCACAUUUUGAGUGAGUGGCGGACGGGUGAGUUAACACGUGGGUAACCUGCCCUAAAGUGGGGGAUAACAUUUGGAAACAGAUGCUAAUACCGCAUAAAACCUAACACCGCAUGGUGUAGGGUUGAAAGAUGGUUUCGGCUAUCACUUUAGGAUGGACCCGCGGUGCAUUAGUUAGUUGGUGAGGUAAAGGCUCACCAAGACCGUGAUGCAUAGCCGACCUGAGAGGGUAAUCGGCCACACUGGGACUGAGACACGGCCCAGACUCCUACGGGAGGCAGCAGUAGGGAAUCUUCCACAAUGGACGAAAGUCUGAUGGAGCAACGCCGCGUGAGUGAAGAAGGUUUUCGGAUCGUAAAACUCUGUUGUUGGAGAAGAAUGUAUCUGAUAGUAACUGAUCAGGUAGUGACGGUAUCCAACCAGAAAGCCACGGCUAACUACGUGCCAGCAGCCGCGGUAAUACGUAGGUGGCAAGCGUUGUCCGGAUUUAUUGGGCGUAAAGCGAGCGCAGGCGGUUUCUUAAGUCUGAUGUGAAAGCCUUCGGCUCAACCGAAGAAGUGCAUCGGAAACUGGGAAACUUGAGUGCAGAAGAGGACAGUGGAACUCCAUGUGUAGCGGUGAAAUGCGUAGAUAUAUGGAAGAACACCAGUGGCGAAGGCGGCUGUCUGGUCUGUAACUGACGCUGAGGCUCGAAAGCAUGGGUAGCAAACAGGAUUAGAUACCCUGGUAGUCCAUGCCGUAAACGAUGAGUGCUAGGUGUUGGAGGGUUUCCGCCCUUCAGUGCCGCAGCUAACGCAUUAAGCACUCCGCCUGGGGAGUACGACCGCAAGGUUGAAACUCAAAGGAAUUGACGGGGGCCCGCACAAGCGGUGGAGCAUGUGGUUUAAUUCGAAGCAACGCGAAGAACCUUACCAGGUCUUGACAUCCUUUGACCACUCUAGAGAUAGAGCUUUCCCUUCGGGGACAAAGUGACAGGUGGUGCAUGGUUGUCGUCAGCUCGUGUCGUGAGAUGUUGGGUUAAGUCCCGCAACGAGCGCAACCCUUAUUACUAGUUGCCAGCAUUUAGUUGGGCACUCUAGUGAGACUGCCGGUGACAAACCGGAGGAAGGUGGGGACGACGUCAAAUCAUCAUGCCCCUUAUGACCUGGGCUACACACGUGCUACAAUGGAUGGUACAACGAGUUGCGAGACCGCGAGGUUUAGCUAAUCUCUUAAAACCAUUCUCAGUUCGGAUUGUAGGCUGCAACUCGCCUACAUGAAGCCGGAAUCGCUAGUAAUCGCGGAUCAGCAUGCCGCGGUGAAUACGUUCCCGGGCCUUGUACACACCGCCCGUCACACCAUGAGAGUUUGUAACACCCAAAG